rnacentral:misc_RNA from 1 species
UCUCCCGUGAGGGAGCAGUCUCGCCUGACAUUUAAAACAGGCAACAGGGGUUGCGUUCGUUUCCCCACUUAAGGGAACAGCUCAAGCCACGAACUGACGACGACCAUGCAUCACCUGUCUAGCACCCUCGAAGGCUUCUCUCCUUUCGGAAAGCGUGCAGCUAGAUUUCUAACCUUGGUAAGGUUUUUCGUUCGACAUCGAAUUAAGCCACAUAAUCCACCGCUUGUGCGAGUCCCCGUCUAUUCCUUUGAGUUUUAGUCUUGCGACCGUACUACCCAGGCGGAUCACUUAACGCGUUAGCUUCGCCUCCGGAAGGGUCGAUACUCCCGAAAGCCAGUGAUCAUCGUUUAGGGCGUAGACUA